GUGAGGAAUAUUGCGCAAUGGAGGCAACUCUGACGCAGCCAUGCCGCGUGCAGGAAGAAGGUGCUACGCGUUGUAAACUGCUUUUAACCGGGAAGAAACCCCAGGACGUGUCCUGGGUUGACGGUACCGGAGGAAUAAGCACCGGCUAACUUCGUGCCAGCAGCCGCGGUAAUACGAAGGGUGCAAGCGUUAUCCGGAUUCAUUGGGUUUAAAGGGUGCGUAGGCGGAGCGUUAAGUCAGUGGUGAAAUCCUGCAGCUUAACUGUAGACUUGCCAUUGAUACUGGCGCUCUUGAGUGCGCUUGAAGUGGGCGGAAUGUGCCGUGUAGCGGUGAAAUGCUUAGAUAUGGCACAGAACACCAAUUGCGAAGGCAGCUCACUAAGGCGAUACUGACGCUGAGGCACGAAAGCGUGGGGAUCGAACAGGAUUAGAAACCCGGGUAGUCC
rnacentral:rRNA from 1 species